AUGAAAAUGCCAACGUCUGCUCUCCUGGGCGAUUGUGAUUAGUACUGUCUUGAGCAGUGUUUUAUAGAAAUGCACAGAUAUUAUGGACAUAAUUUCUCGCUCACUCAUUUUAUCCAUUGCCUGUCACCGUAUACAUUUUCUUUGUUCCAAGGUGGACUGAACAGGCAUAGGGUGAGAACUGGUAUAAGGCUGAGGGGUGUAGCCUUCCUUCAGGCUCAAUUCUCAUUGGUUGGGCUGGUAGAGGACUUGGUAUCCUACUUCCCUAGGUGGGCUCCUUGCUUUUUACAUGGGUGAUUGUUGCCAGGUAACUUAAGGAAGACAGAGACCAUGCCGGCCCAUAAUUACG
rnacentral:lncRNA from 1 species